UCAACAUGGACACCCUGGAGGUCAUUCAUUCUCCCGGAGCUCUCUCCUAGUGGCAUAGUGAACCACAGGGCACUGCAUGGUGAUAUAAAGUUCCUUUCCACAAUGUUGGAGAUGAAGCUGGACUUCAAGUCUGUGCCUUCAUAUCCCUAAGACUUCUUGGAGUCCCGUGGAUGAUGACUAAGGAGAAAAGCCAUGCAUAAAACAAAC
ensembl:snoRNA Gm24948 predicted gene, 24948